rnacentral:rRNA from 1 species
CCUACGGGUGGCAGCAGUCGAGAAUCAUUCACAAUGGGGGAAACCCUGAUGGUGCGACGCCGCGUGGGGGAAUGAAGGUCUUCGGAUUGUAAACCCCUGUCAUGUGGGAGCAAAUUAAAAAGAUAGUACCCCAAGAGGAAGAGACGGCUAACUCUGUGCCAGCAGCCGCGGUAAUACAGAGGUCUCAAGCGUGGUUCGGAAUCACUGGGCGUAAAGCGUGCGUAGGCUGUUUCGUAAGUCGUGUGUGAAAGGCGCGGGCUCAACCCGCGGACGGCACAUGAUACUGCGAGACUAGAGUAAUGGAGAGGGAAGCGGAAUUCUCGGUGUAGCAGUGAAAUGCGUAGAUAUCGCGAGGAACACUCGUGGCGAAGGCGGGUUCCUGGACAUUCACUGACGCUGAGGCACGAAGGCCAGGGGAGCGAAAGGGAUUAGAUACCCCAGUAGUC